UACGUAGGGGGCAAGCGUUGUCCGGAAUCAUUGGGCGUAAAGCGCGUGUAGGCGGUCCGGUAAGUCCGCUGUAAAAGUCGGGGGCUCAACCCUCGGAUGCCGGUGGAUACUGUCGGGCUUGAGUCCGGAAGAGGAGAGUGGAAUUCCUGGUGUAGCGGUGAAAUGCGCAGAUAUCAGGAAGAACACCCGUGGCUAAGGCGGCUCCUCUAGUACGGUACUGACGCUGAGACGCGAAAGCGUGGGGAGCGAACAGG
rnacentral:rRNA from 1 species